rnacentral:rRNA from 1 species
UACGUAGGUGGCAAGCGUUGUCCGGAAUUACUGGGUGUAAAGGGCGUGUAGGCGGGACUGCAAGUCAGAUGUGAAAUUCCCAGGCUCAACCUGGGGGCUGCAUCUGAAACUGUGGUUAUUGAGUGCUGGAGAGGAAAGCGGAAUUCCUAGUGUAGCGGUGAAAUGCGUAGAUAUUAGGAGGAACACCAGUGGCGAAGGCGGCUUUCUGGACAGUAACUGCAGCUGAGGCGCGAAAGCGUGGGGAGCAAACAGG